UACGUAGGGUGCAGGCGUUAAUCGGAAUUACUGGGCGUAAAGCGUGCGCAGGCGGUUGUGUAAGCCAGAUGUGAAAUCCCCGGGCUCAACCUGGGAACUGCAUUUGUGACUGCACGGCUCGAGUGCGGCAGAGGGGGAUGGAAUUCCGCGUGUAGCAGUGAAAUGCGUAGAUAUGCGGAGGAACACCGAUGGCGAAGGCAAGCCCCUGGGCCUGCACUGACGCUCAUGCACGAAAGCGUGGGGAGCAAACAGG
rnacentral:rRNA from 1 species